rnacentral:rRNA from 1 species
AUUGAACGCUGGUGGCAUGCCUUACACAUGCAAGUCGAACGGUAACGGGCCUUCGGGUGCCGACGAGUGGCGAACGGGUGUGUAAUACAUCGGAACGUGCCCGAUCUUGGGGGAUAACGAGGCGAAAGCUUUGCUAAUACCGCAUACGAUCUACGGAUGAAAGCAGGGGACCGCACGGCCUUGCUCGUACGGAUCGGCCGAUGGCAGAUUAGGUAGUUGGUUGGAUAAAAGCUUACCAAGCCGACGAUCUGUAGCUGGUAUGAGAGGAUGAUCAGCCACACUGGGACUGAGACACGGCCCAGAAGACUACGGGAGGAAGCAGUGGGGAAGUUUGGACAAUGGGGGCAAGCCUGAUACAGCAAUGCCGAGUGCAGGAUGAAGGCCUUCGGGUUGUAAACUGCUUUUGUACGGAACGAAAAGCCUUCUUUUAAUACAGGAGGGUCAUGACGGUACCGUAAGAAUAAGCACCGGCUAACUACGUG